GUAGUCUGACAUUGCCCUAAAAGCCCCAAAGAUACAAGAUCUUGUCUGAUCUUGUAAGCAAAGCAGGGCCAGACUUGCUUAGUACUUCUAUGGGAGACUGAUAGCAAAUGCCAGAAGCAGGCUGGA
rnacentral:rRNA from 11 species